CCAUCAGCUCUGGAGACUGAAGUCUUGUAUUUACGCAUAGGACAGAUGACAGCAUGGACAGCUGCAGUGCAGGAUUUUUUUACACUGAGCCACCAACUUGCUUCAACAAUGACCAGUAGGGGCCACUUCUAGGAGUGAGAAGGAAGUUUGGUCUUCAUGGCUCAUUCAUACUUUGAGCUC
rnacentral:sRNA from 1 species